UAGGCCGGCAACUAUAGCUCCAAUUCGACCCCUAGCCUGGGAACUUCCAUGUGCCACAGGUACAGCUCUAAAUAAUAAUAAUAAUAAUAAUAAUAAUAAUAAUAAUAGUAGCAAAUCAGAAAGGUCAAAAAGGCAAAGAUGGAGUUAUGACAUUAAUAUCAGCCCAUGAAGAUAAAAGUGUUAAACGAGACAAGGAAGUGUACUUCAAGCAAAUAUAAAGAGUAAAAAUCCACAAAUGGAUGUGACUACUUUAUGCAAUAAAUACCAAAAGGAGAAACCAAAACUGAUGCUUAGCUAGGCCACCACAGUGAGGUGGGUGCAUCCUACACGACUGUACAAGAAAAAAACUUUAUCUUAGAUAAACCACAGAAAACAAAAACAAAAACCAAAAAGAAACAAGAAUGCUUGAAUCUCCUCUAAAUAUAGACUCUUUCCUAUACAUGUUACUGACUCUAGGAGAGAGUGGUGUUAUCUCUGACAUCUGAAGAUAUGCAGCAAUUCUUUAGCUAGGAUAAUCGUAAGGGAAAAUGGCCUUUUACCACCAAUGGGACUAAUGAAUGAAUAAACUAUAAAUGUUUAAUCCUUGAAGUAUUGGCUACGUUCUUUAUGCAAGAAACCCAGUUCUCCUAAAGGCCGAUCUUCCCUGUAAACAUUGCAGAUAAAAAUACUUUUCUUAAAGCACACAUUUUCUUUGAAUUUUCCUUUACUCCAACAUCAAGUUCUAUCAAGCAUAAAAAGCAGGAAAUGUAACAGAAACGCAUUUGGACAGAAAUGGACAAAUGUGUUUAGAAAUGGACAAAAACACAGUGAUGGUAACAUUAACUCAGCUUUUUUGACCCAUGACAAAUUAGGGAGACAAAAAUAAAGAAUAUAUAGCAUUUGAAAAAAUAUGAUUAUACUCAAAAAACAGAAUAUAAUUUUAUUUCUUACUCAUCAGCUUUGUCACUGUUGAUUGGCCACAAACAAAAGAUGAAGGUAUUAGUGUCCUUAAACAAACUCUGUCACUAACUCUACAUCUUGUUUGUCUGUCUUUCUAUUGGUAAACUGAUAACAUCCAUAGCAUUUUCCUCUGUAACUAUUUUCCAAACAUUUAUUUGUUGCUCAUUACUAAUCCCUUUGUCAUGGAUUCUCUAGUCAUCCCUUAUUUUGCUUUCAAGCAUUUUCUUUUUUUAACAAAACUCUAGUGAGUUCUUGCUCUUAAAAUUCUCCAGUGUUUGGUAGUAUCUGUCUGAGGCUGUAUAAUGCUCUUGCUGAGAGUUUAAGCUCUGAAAAUCUCUUUGAAGGUCUUCCUAGGUUUGAAUUCUAAGCUUUGCCACUCCCCACGUGACCUUGAGCAAGUAACUGUGCUCACAUUUCUUAUCCUUAAAAGAGGGACAUCUCUAAGUACUGUGUAUGCCCUUUGGUGCCCCACUACACCCCUGCUCCAGAUCUACUCUGGCCCUGCCCUGCCACUUUCUGUACCCCAGGAGGCUGACCUCUUCUCUCCUCAUCAUCUGGGCUCCCUGUUUGGCUGCUUUCCAGCUGCAUGAGGCCAGUGGAAAGGGCUGGCAGGAAAUCAGAUGGUGGUGGUAGGAGUGGGAGGAGUGGGUAUUUUUUUCUUGUUUUUUCCCUCUGCACCCCUCAUGAGGACAGUCCCUGAAGGUGGCCACUCCUCCCUAGCUCCAGCUCUCCGUAGGCCCCAUUCCCCCCUUCCCAGUCCUGAGGGCAGUAAUGGUAUGCCACUGCUCUUUUCUCUGGGUCUCUCACCAGUCCUUUUCCCCUUAACCUGACUACCUUUCUAAGCAGCUCCUUUAUUCAUGUCUGUUCAUUUGAAAUAUCUGGGGUGAACCAUGUUACCCACCAUGACCCUGACUGAUACAGUUCAUAGGACCAGAGAUGGCCCUAGUGACUGAAGUCUCAGACAGAGUUGGUAAUGUAGUAAGCAAAUUCAGGAAUGACCUCCACACCUGGGAACACAGGACACAAGCAAUAAGUGACAUGCUGUUACUCUCACAGUGAUGUAAGAUGGAGAGCCAGCCAGGGCAAGGCUCUGGAAGAUCAUCAGGCUGCUGUACUCCCUGAAACUAUGACAGUGAUGAUGACACACAUUGCAGGGAAUGUUAACUGCCUCUGUCUGUGCCAAAAAGCUUGUAUAAAAACAAACAUAUUGCUUUACCUUCCAUUCAAGAUUAGAGAACCAGAAAAGUUCUACGGAGGCCUUCAGAGAAUCUCUUAUUAUCAGCUAUUGCUGCAAAGCAGACAUGAAUGAGGAUCAGACCUAAAAUUGAAUUGCUCAGUUGCAGAAUUACAACUCUAGUUAAGUACAGAACCUUUGAAGGUCUCUUGUGCUCAGGUUAGAACAUUGAUUGAGAAGGAAGGAUCUUCUGAGACUUCUGAAAAGGACAUUUGUGCAGACACAGUUUGAAUCUCCAGAUCACCCUGAGUCUCCCUUGCUACUACAAAGAGUCCCUCCUCCUUGGUCUCAGGAAACCACCCUUUUCUUUCACAGAGAUCUUUCAGUGAUACUCCCUAAGGCAGUUGUCUUUCUGGGGAAUGCCUGUUCUAGAUCCAUCCUCAAGGCCUCUGUGCUCCUAAGUGGAGUUAAAUCACAGCAUGACCCAGGAGAGAACUGUAAAUUCACUUCCAGGGUGAGAUAAUAAAUAGACCAAAGGAACUGCAAGUGCUUUUACACAUUUUUUUUAGAUGUGCUGAAACCUUGGGCAUGCAUAAGAGAAUGAAUUCUGAGGGUUUAGACCAGGGACGAGCAACUCUUGGCUUGAGGGAAAAUGGCCUACCACCUGUUUUUGUAUGGCAUGCAAACUAAGAAUGAUCCUUACAUUUCUACAUGGUUAAAGAGAGAAUGUUUUAUGUCACAUAAAAAUUGUGUGAAAUUCAAAUUUCAGUGUCCAUAAAUAAAGCUUUAUUAGAACAUAGCACUGCCUUUUGGUUAUGGGUGCUUUUGUGCUGCAAGGUAGGUAGUCAUAACAGGCUGGUUCUCAUAGCUGUAGCUGUUUACUCUCUGUCCCUUUACAGAAAAGCUUGCUGAUCUCUGCUCCACAACAUGGACGUGAUGGUUGGAAGUGCCACCAUUGAAUUGGGAUCCUAGUUUUAAUGGCGGUAAUGAGAUCUGGGUUAGGCAGAGGCCAAGUGGUGGUGCUUAGGAUCAGAGCGACAAAGUGGGCACAAUUUCUAUAACAGAUGGGAUCAAGGUAGGCAACUGAUUUGAUGCACUAGAGUCUGUGGUGGGAGUCAGUUGAUCAUGGCGCAAGAGAAAUGAAACAGAUGUAUAGUCUACUAAGAUAUGGAUUGAACUGUUUAGUCUUGUGGACAGAAACGUGUUUAGAUUCUCCAUGGUGAGCAUUUACAGGCGAUCACCCUCUCUACACGUGAGCCAGCUCAAAAGUAGAGGGAUGGCUGAAAGGACUCUGGGUUUCAGUGGAGGGAGGAACAUGGCCACAAAUGCACACUGUAAGAUCGUUCUCCGAGCAUUUUCCACAGGCCAUUUAUAGGGUGACAGUGCAUUGGGAAAAGGGAAUUUUCCAGACCUCUCCUAUGUUAUAAAAUACUAGCCCUGGGUUGAGGCUGAUCAUUAAGUACCCAAUAUGCCAUUGUGACAUUCCAGUCAGUGCAGGGGCUUAUGGAGGGUAGAUAGAUGGAGUCUCUUUUUUUAAACAAGUUACUGUUUUGAAAAAAUUUCAAACAUAUUCAGAAAUACAGAGAAUAGUGAUAUGAGCCCCACAUACUCAUCCUCCAGUUUUGACACAUAUAGGUGUUUUGCCUGUGUUAUUUUGUCUUACUGCAUUGAUGCUUUCCCCUCACCUCUGGGAGAUUUCAUAAAGAUCCCAGGCAUCACAUCAUCCUGACUACAUAGCUCCAAUAGAUAAGGACUUUUUAAUGUAACUGUUAUAUCUUCAUUAUAUCUAGAAAAUUAACAACAAUUAUUUAAAAUUAUCUACUACAUAGUCCAUGUUUGAAUUUUCCCAUUUGUAUUAAGAAAGCUAUCCUAUAGGGUGAUUUGGUUGAAUUAGUACCUAAAUAAAUUCCCUACUUGUACUUAGUUGUUGUAUGUGAAGGCUCUUUUGUCUUUAAUCGUUCCUUCUCCCUACUUUUCAGAACAUUUGUUAAAUAAACUGGGUCAUUAGUUUUAUACAAUUAUCCUUAUUUCAAAUUUGGCUGAUUGCAUUCUUUUCAUCCUGUUAACUUAGUUUCCCUCCCCGUUUCAACUACCCUCACCAGGCCAGAAUAAUAUAUCAGGAGCAGUGCCAUAUUGCUGGUGGUAAAUGUGGAUACUGGGGUCACAUUUCUGUUUACUUGUGUGAUUGGUCCAAAAGCUAGAUGGAUCUUGAAGAAUGGCAAUGGGUUAUCAUAAACUUGAAUAAGGAUAUAUCAUUGUGCUGCUAUUCAGAUAUGGAGAAAAUCAGCACAGUUCCUGCCCCUAGUUUGCAGCUAUAGACCUACUGACUUUCUAUAUCCAAUAGUAAAUCAGAAGCAUUUUUUUUUAAUUUUUACGGCAGGGCCCGGAGUAUAAUUUUAAUGUACUAUGUUAACUCGCUUGCUUUCUGCUGUAAGGUACGAGGGCACCUUGGUCAUCUCCAUGUCCCACAGAACAUUGCACUGAUCCCUUACAUUGAUGAUAUUUUGAUUAUCAGAUCCAGUGACCAAAAAACAGCAAAUUAUGUACACAUGCAGUAAGAUAUUUGUGUGUCUAUGGGUAGGAGAUAAACCCCAGGAAAAUUCAAGGUUCUGCAUGUUGGUGAAUUGCUAAAAUUCUAAUGGUCUGAAGUCCAUCUGGAUAGUCCUUCUAAAGUGAAAGACAAGUUACUAUACCUUGCACUUUACAUCACAGAUAAUUUUUGGUGGGACUCUGGGUUUUAGAGGCAGUGUUACCAUCUUGCUGUAUGUUACUCUGAUGAGUGCACUGACUUGCUCAUAAGACUGCUAGUUUGAGUAGAGACCUACGGAGAGCACCACAGAAAGUUCAAGCUGUGGUGGACGCUGCAUAUCCUUUGGACGUAAUGAUUCUUUGUGUGUAUAUGGCCUUCAGGAAGCCUCAACAGGAAUAUCACUGUGGACAGGCUCUCACAUCCUAGAUUUUAGAGUAAAGUUAUGACCUUUUAUGCUGCUGAAAUUCCGGGAGAAGCAGUUGCUGUUUUAAUAUGGGAUUCUAAAAGAGUUGGAAUAGCUGACCAUGAUAUACCAAGGGACAAUAAGACCUGAGAAACUGCUCAUGAUCUGGGUGUUUUUGACCUAUCAUAGCCUAAAUUCCAUGGCAGCAAUCCAUUUUACUUAAAAAUAGAUCUGGGUUUGAGCAGUUUUGGGGGGCACAAGUAAAUCUGAUAAAAAGGUGGCUCAGACUCACAUGUUACCAUUAUUUUCUCUUUCACUUCCUUUCCUUCAGCUCAUACCCAUGGCCUCAUGGGUCAGGGCCUAUGACCACUUAACAGAAGAGGAAAAUUGAACAUCCGCUUUACAUAUGGGUGUGCAUAAUAUAUAGGCACCAGCUGGUAGAGGAGGCCUAACAUACUUUUACAGACCUUCUUAAACUUGUCUAUGUUCAGAAGUGGAAGGGGAGGUUCCAAAGGGACAGAACUUUCAGCAGUGCAUAUGGUGGUUGCUCUCCUUAGAAAGAAAGGUGGCCUGAAGCAUGGAUCUGCAUUGAGUCACAGGCUUGCUAACAGGGUAGAUGACUGAUCAAGAUCUUAGAAAGGAAGAGUGGUGACAAGAAGGUCUGAGGAAGAAGAAUUCACCCAUUCAGUACAGACUCUUAGUCAUGAGGUGGCAAGAUGGCCUGUACUACAGAUGCCAGCCUCUUUGACCAGCCACGAUGAUUCUUGCUCAAAAGACUUCUUGACAAAAUAGGCGUGGCAUCAAGAAUGGAAGUUACACAUAGACUGAAAAGCAGACUCUCCCUUACCAAGUCUAAUCUGACUAUUGCUCUUGCUGAGUGUCCAACUUAUGUAUAGCCCAGACCAAUACUUUGUCCCCAGUAUGGCUCCAUCCUUCAGGGGGAACCAGCCAGCCACUCUCUGGGAAGUUAAAUGUAUUGGUUUCUUACCAUUAUGGUGGGGGAAACUGUCCUUACAGGAUUCAUAUUCUGGUUACAGAUUUUCCUUCCUUCCUUUUGUCAGCACCACUGUCUACCAUUGAGAGACCCACAAAAUGCCAUAGUGUUCUUUAAGGAAAUCAUCUUCAACCAAGAAGCUCAUUUCAUAGUGAAAGAAGUCUGGCAGUGAGCUUGGGCCCAUGGAAUUCAAUCAUGAGGUCUUCCUGCUUCUUCCUGAUUGAAAAACAGCUGGACUGAAGAGUAGACAGGCCUACUGAAUGCUGAGAUGCUACUGUUGCUGGGGAAAUGUCACUGUUAGAGAAUAGAAAACCAUUAUUCCGAAGAGUAUGGAAGACUGACUGAAUCAGGUCUGGAACAUUAUUGAAAUGAGAUUAUCACAGAAUACUGGGUAGAGUUCUCCGUGCUAUACAGCAGGUCCCUGUUGCCCAAUCAUUCCAUAUACCUCAGUCUGCAUGUGGCAACACCAACAGCCCAUCCCUCCCAUCACUGAGCCUGUCCCCUUUGCUGUUUUGCAGGCGCUGAAGCUCUCACCAGAUGGAAAAAGUCAACUGGAUGCUGCCUGCAAACACCCAGACCCCAGAAGGUUGGUGAUGCUGACUCCCAAUUACGUCACCACCAGCCAAUCAGGAAAAUGUCUGUGAGUUGAUCAUGCCCUGCUCCUUGAACACUGUAAGACUCCUCACUGUCCCCUCCAAGAGGGGCACAGUCCUGGAUGCAUGAGCUCGCUGUGAUCCCUGCUGUGUUCCUGCUUUGCCUGGCAAUUAAAGCUACUUUUUCUGUUUCCUCCAACUCUGUCUCCGAGUUUCUAUUUGGCAUCGGUGUACAGAGGCAGCUGAGAUUUCAGCAACACCUUUAGAAGUCAAGGCACAGUUAUAAAACUUUUUUGCACCAGAGGGCUGUACAUUGAAUGACAUUUAUCGACAGCUUACACAAUCCGGAUCUAAGUCUCUUCAUGGACUAUAUUGUAUAGUUUUAUUUUUAGAAUAAUGUACACAUGUUAUUUUUUAUGAUUAUCACAUUUACUUGUUUCAGUCUUCCUUUUAUUUUUAUAAUAUCCUCCAUUAUUAUCUAUGUAUUGGAAUGUUAAAAUAUCAUCCCAUCUC